rnacentral:rRNA from 1 species
CGGCCAGCUCUAACAUAGCUGGCUCAUGACGGUACCUGAAGAAGAAGCACCGGCUAACUACGUGCCAGCAGCCGCGGUAAUACGUAGGGUGCGAGCGUUAAUCGGAAUUACUGGGCGUAAAGCGUGCGCAGGCGGUGGUGUAAGACAGGUGUGAAAUCCCCGGGCUUAACCUGGGAACUGCGCUAGUGACUGCACGGCUAGAGUAUGGCAGAGGGGGGUGGAAUUCCACGUGUAGCAUUGAAAUGCGUAUAGAUGUGGAGGAACACCGAUGGCGAAGGCCGCCCCCUGGGCCAAUACUGACUCUCAUGCACGAAAGCGUGGGGAGCAAACAGGAUUAGAUACCCUGGUAGUCCACGCCCUAAACGAUAUCGACUAGGUGUUCGGUGAGGACACUCAUUGAGUACCGCAGCUAACGCGUGAAGUCGACCGCCUGGGGAGUACGG